rnacentral:rRNA from 1 species
UAUGAAGGGGGGCUAGCGUUGCUCGGAAUUACUGGGCGUAAAGCGCACGUAGGCGGCUUUGUAAGUUAGAGGUGAAAGCCCAGGGCUUAACCCUGGAAUUGCCUUUAAGACUGCAUCGCUAGAAUCGUGGAGAGGUGAGUGGAAUUCCGAGUGUAGAGGUGAAAUUCGUAGAUAUUCGGAAGAACACCAGUGGCGAAGGCGACUCACUGGACACGUAUUGACGCUGAGGUGCGAAAGCGUGGGGAGCAAACAGG